rnacentral:rRNA from 1 species
CGCCUGUUUAUCAAAAACAUCGCCUCUUGUUCAAUUAUAAGAGGUCCAGCCUGCCCAGUGACUUUGUUCAACGGCCGCGGUAUCCUAACCGUGCGAAGGUAGCGUAAUCACUUGUUCUUUAAAUGAGGACUAGUAUGAAUGGCCCCACGAGGGCUGCACUGUCUCCUUUUUCUAAUCAAUGAAACUAAUCUCCCCGUGAAGAAGCGGGAAUAAUACUAUAAGACGAGAAGACCCUAUGGAGCUUUAAACAAUUGAAACAUUUGCUUUUCUCUUAACUUCUCCCGAGCUCUUUAUUUUUACUUAAGCAUUAUUGUUUCUAGUUUUAGGUUGGGGUGACCACGGAGCAAAACUAAACCUCCAUGAAGAAAUGAAUAUUUUUAAGCCACAAGCUACUUUUUUAAGCAUCAACAAAUUGACCUUCAUUGACCCAAUAUAUUGAUCAACGAACCAAGUUACCCUAGGGAUAACAGCGCAAUCUACUUCAAGAGCUCAUAUCGACAAGUAGGUUUACGACCUCGAUGUUGGAUCAGGGUAUCCUAGUGGUGCAGCCGCUACUAAUGGUUCGUUUGUUCAACGAUUAAAACCCU